AGGCUUAACACAUGCAAGUCGAGGGGCAGCAUGGUCUUAGCUUGCUAAGGCCGAUGGCGACCGGCGCACGGGUGAGUAACACGUAUCCAACCUGCCGUCUACUCUUGGACAGCCUUCUGAAAGGAAGAUUAAUACAAGAUGGCAUCAUGAGUCCGCAUGUUCACAUGAUUAAAGGUAUUCCGGUAGACGAUGGGGAUGCGUUCCAUUAGAUAGUAGGCGGGGUAACGGCCCACCUAGUCUUCGAUGGAUAGGGGUUCUGAGAGGAAGGUCCCCCACAUUGGAACUGAGACACGGUCCAAACUCCUACGGGAGGCAGCAGUGAGGAAUAUUGGUCAAUGGGCGAGAGCCUGAACCAGCCAAGUAGCGUGAAGGAUGACUGCCCUAUGGGUUGUAAACUUCUUUUAUAAAGGAAUAAAGUCGGGUAUGGAUACCCGUUUGCAUGUACUUUAUGAAUAAGGAUCGGCUAACUCCGUGCCAGCAGCCGCGGUAAUACGGAGGAUCCGAGCGUUAUCCGGAUUUAUUGGGUUUAAAGGGAGCGUAGAUGGAUGUUUAAGUCAGUUGUGAAAGUUUGCGGCUCAACCGUAAAAUUGCAGUUGAUACUGGAUAUCUUGAGUGCAGUUGAGGCAGGCGGAAUUCGUGGUGUAGCGGUGAAAUGCUUAGAUAUCACGAAGAACUCCGAUUGCGAAGGCAGCCUGCUAAGCUGCAACUGACAUUGAGGCUCGAAAGUGUGGGUAUCAAACAGGAUUAGAUACCCUGGUAGUCCACACGGUAAACGAUGAAUACUCGCUGUUUGCGAUAUACUGCAAGCGGCCAAGCGAAAGCGUUAAGUAUUCCACCUGGGGAGUACGCCGGCAACGGUGAAACUCAAAGGAAUUGACGGGGGCCCGCACAAGCGGAGGAACAUGUGGUUUAAUUCGAUGAUACGCGAGGAACCUUACCCGGGCUUAAAUUGCAGAUGAAUUACGGUGAAAGCCGUAAGCCGCAAGGCAUCUGUGAAGGUGCUGCAUGGUUGUCGUCAGCUCGUGCCGUGAGGUGUCGGCUUAAGUGCCAUAACGAGCGCAACCCUUGUUGUCAGUUACUAACAGGUUCCGCUGAGGACUCUGACAAGACUGCCAUCGUAAGAUGUGAGGAAGGUGGGGAUGACGUCAAAUCAGCACGGCCCUUACGUCCGGGGCUACACACGUGUUACAAUGGGGGGUACAGAGGGCCGCUACCACGCGAGUGGAUGCCAAUCUCAAAAACCUCUCUCAGUUCGGACUGGAGUCUGCAACCCGACUCCACGAAGCUGGAUUCGCUAGUAAUCGCGCAUCAGCCACGGCGCGGUGAAUACGUUCCCGGGCCUUGUACACACCGCCCGUCAAGCCAUGGGAGCCGGGGGUACCUGAAGUGCGUAACCGCGAGGAGCGCCCUAGGGUAAAACUGGUGACUGGGGCUAAGUA
rnacentral:rRNA from 1 species